rnacentral:rRNA from 1 species
GGUAAAGCUAAAUGUAUUAUGUAAUAAUACGGANUCGAUUUNUUCGUAUAAAGUUCUAGAUAGAAUUANGAUAAUGACNUUNUCUAUCUAUAAGUCUUGACCAAAUUACGUGCCAGCAGUCGCGGUAAGACGUAAAAGACUAGUGUUAUUCAUCUUUAAUAGGUUUAAAGCGUACCUAGACGGUAAAUAAAGCCUUAACUGGGACUAAUUUAACUAGAGUUAAAUGUAAGGGUGCAUAAACGUACUGUUGAGUGUAGAGAUGAAAUUCUAUUAUACCAGAUAAUUGGCACGGGUUUAGGCGAAAGCAUCACCUUAUGUAAUAACUGACGUUGUGGGACGAAGGCUUUGUAUCGCGAACAGGAUUAGAUACCCUAGUAGUCUAAGCAGAAAAUGAUGAGUGUCAUAGGUUAAAUAUUAUUUUUUCUAUAAAUGAAAGUGUAAGCAUUCCACCUCAAGAGUAAUUUGGCAACAUUGGAAUUGAAAUCAUUAGACCGUUUUUGAAACCAGUAGUGAAGUAUGUUGUUUAAUUAGCCAGCCCUCUAAGAACCUUACCACAACUUGAAUAUUUUACAAGCGUUGCACGGCUGUCUUUAGCUAAUGUCGUGAGAUUGUGGUUAGUUCCAUUAAAUUAGCGUAAACCCUUACUUUAUUUUAUUUUUAUAUAAA